GGACUACCGGGGUUUCUAAUCCUGUUUGAUCCCCACGCUUUCGUGCCUCAGCGUCAGUUGUGGCUCAGUAACCUGCCUUCGCAAUUGGUGUUCUAUAUCAUAUCUAAGCAUUUCACCGCUACAUGAUAUAUUCCAGUUACCUCAACCACACUCGAGACUUUCAGUUUCAAUGGCAAUUCUAUAGUUAAGCUACAGGCUUUCACCACUGACUUAAAAGUCCGCCUACGCACCCUUUAAACCCAGUAAAUCCGGACAACGCUUGGAUCCUUCGUAUUACCGCGGCUGCUGGCAC
rnacentral:rRNA from 1 species